rnacentral:ncRNA from 2 species
UUGAGCUGAGUGCAGGGAAACUUGCACGCUCAGUUCUUAGGGGGGGACAUGGCCGUGAGGCCACGUCCCUACCCGAC